UUUCAUUAGAACAUUGACAUCUCCUACUCCACUAUAUGAGAUAAUAAAGUUAUAAACUAUUUUCAACCACCGGUUUACAUCCACAAAAUAUUACAUACCACCAUAUAAACAAAAAUAUGCAAACCACUGUCUAAACCAAAAUACAUUUUCCGUACCACGACAUAAACCAAAAUACAUAUUGAAAAACCACCAUAUAAAUCAAAAUAGGUAAACCUCUAAAUUCUACGCAUCCCUCUUACCCCUCUUGCGACCAGAUCGUGUGUAUGGCGUCUUUGUGUUUACACUAGCCUUCUUCAGCCUCAACGAUCGAGGUCUACGUGUAGGUGGAUCAGCUGCCAU
rnacentral:lncRNA from 1 species